AAUCACUCGAGCAUGAGAAAGUGUGGGAAGUGCUGUUUUCUCCUGCUUCUAAGGAGGGACAGAUUUUUUUUAGCUUGUAUUUCUAAAGCACCUAAAGCUGAUGUUGUGUAGUAUGGUACGUAAAUAACAAGAGUGAACUAGGAAUGAGCCCUUGUAGGGUGAGCUAUAGCCUGAGCUGGGCAGAAUUAUCACUGUGAGGUCUACAGUGCUGCAGAGCCCACAGGAAAUCUCCUUUGAUGCUGUCCUUUGUGGCUGCUGGGUACUCUCAGAUAUAACCAGCUGCUAAUACCAGGACAGCAGCCACCAGCCUUCUUCAGGAGAAACAAGUGCUCCCUUGUCAUUCCAUCUCUACAGGGGCAGUCUGGUGCACUGGACAGUGAUAUAACUUGUGCCUUCGCUUUCUGUAUGUGGAGGAUGCUGCAAAUGAAGAAAAAAAGGUUUCAUAUGGCUGAGGAGACCCACCCCUUCCAGAGGAGAAUGAGCUUUUCUGGCUAUAAAACACUUUGCAGCAGGCUUAUGUGGCUGUAUAUCUGGACAAUCCAAUCUGCUUUUGCCAGUGCAGUCAGUGCGUGUGUGAGUUACGGGCACAGGAGAGCAUAGCUGCCCGUGUGGGGCCGGGAUUGAUGAGUGGUGUGCUGCUGCACACAGAGUGGGUGGAGAUGAAAUGUCUGGAGGAGCCUUUCCUCAUGCUUUGUUCCGUAACACCAGCACUGAAGCUGUUGAGGAUCAUCAUACCUCCACGAUGAGUGGCGAUGGCAGGGGCUGCGCAGUCCCUGCAAAGUGUGCCUGCGUUGGGCAACGGGCACUGCCAGCAAAGCUGUCCUGCACCAGUGCAAGUGGCCUUGCUGAGCCCCUGAUGUCUGCAGGAGAACUCCUUUAUUCCUCCAGCAUAGGCAUGCCAGGAGUGGAUGUGAACCAGGAUCUAAUGAAAAUCCUAGGAUUUGUCUGUUAGGCCAUGCUUUGGAGGUGGUAUUUCUUUUGAUCCAGCUCAGUUUUAAAUAUUGCCAUGAAGAAUUAUAAAAGAUUGUACUAAUUUACACUGAGAUCUUUUGGUUGCUUGAUGAAGAAAUUAUACCAGCUCAGCGUGGGCCUGACUUUACGUCUGUGUUAACAAUGUUACAGGCGCAUGGCCUUAGUCUGAUUCAUUCCUAAUGAGAUUUUGAAGUUCAUACUAUAAAAAUGUUCUGUCAAUUAAGUCAGAAAUUCAGAGCAACAUAUUUACUUCAGCUAACAGUAUGUCCUUUCAGUGCAAGGAUCUCAAUGAUUACAGCAGUGUUUUCUAGUUCCAGCCUCAUCAAAGUCCAAUAAAAUAUUCUCAUUGUAAUACACGCUUGUCUGUAAUGUGCAAGUUUUUUGACUGCAAAGAACAGCUCUGCAAAAUGUAUUCAGUGAGGACAAAGCAGCCUAGAAGAUAGCUCUAAUACAAAGGCCUGUCUUUCUGUAGUGCCCUGUAGCUGAAAUAAGACCAGGCAGGAGCGCCUGUUUUACUAGCAGCAGGUUUUCUUGAUGCAUGCUUGCGCUUCCCAGUGUCGCUGACUCCCAGGAAUAAGGCCCUCCAAUGUGCUGUGAAAGGGGCUGAUUGCACUUGUCACCAAUUAACAGAAGAUGGGUAUGCAGAUGAAAGUAAAUCCUGCUUUUCUUUACCAGGUAAUAAGUCAAAAAAGUGCAAAGCCAGCGACAUCUCCUGUGUCAGCUACACCCCAGGAAGCAGCUCCUAGAUUACUCGAGAGAGCGCAGAGUAUCGUAUGCUGCUUGAUCCCAGUAAGUCCCAGUUCCUUAAAGUCUUCGGGAAGCAACAAACUAGUAGAAGUUGAGAAGACUCAGCCUUUUAAUA